rnacentral:rRNA from 1 species
UACGUACCGUCCAAACGUUAUUCGGAAUCACUGGGCUUAAAGAGUUCGUAGGCGGCUCAGAAAGUUGGGUGUGAAAUCCCCCGGCUCAACCGGGGAACGGCGCUCAAAACUACUGAGCUUGAGGGAGAUAGAGGUGAGCGGAACUGAUGGUGGAGCGGUGAAAUGCGUUGAUAUCAUCAGGAACACCGGAGGCGAAGGCGGCUCACUGGGUCUUACCUGACGCUGAGGAACGAAAGCUAGGGGAGCGAACGGG